AUUGAACGCUGGCGGCAGGCCUAACACAUGCAAGUCGAACGGUAACAGGAAGAAGCUUGCUUCUUUGCUGACGAGUGGCGGACGGGUGAGUAAUGUCUGGGAAACUGCCUGAUGGAGGGGGAUAACUACUGGAAACGGUAGCUAAUACCGCAUAACGUCGCAAGACCAAAGAGGGGGAGCUUCGGGCCUCUUGCCAUCGGUUGUGCCCAGAUGGGAUUAGCAAGGAGGUGGGGUAACAGCUCACCUAGGCGGCGAGCCCUAGCUGGUCUGAGAGGAUGAACCGCCCCACUGGAACCGAGACGCCGUCCAGACUCCUAGGGGCGGCCACAGGUGCGAAUAUUGCACGAUGGGCGCAAGCCUGAUGCAGCCAUGCCGCGUGUAUGAAGAAGGCCUUCGGGUUGUAAAGUACUUUCAGCGGGGAGGAAGGGAGUAAAGUUAAUACCUUUACUCAUUGACGUUACCCGCAGAAGAAGCACCGGCUAACUCCGUG
rnacentral:rRNA from 1 species